UGCAAGUCGAACGGCAGCACGGGUGCUUGCACCUGGUGGCGAGUGGCGAACGGGUGAGUAAUACAUCGGAACAUGUCCUGUAGUGGGGGAUAGCCCGGCGAAAGCCGGAUUAAUACCGCAUACGAUCUACGGAUGAAAGCGGGGGACCUUCGGGCCUCGCGCUAUAGGGUUGGCCGAUGGCUGAUUAGCUAGUUGGUGGGGUAAAGGCCUACCAAGGCGACGAUCAGUAGCUGGUCUGAGAGGACGACCAGCCACACUGGGACUGAGACACGGCCCAGACUCCUACGGGAGGCAGCAGUGGGGAAUUUUGGACAAUGGGCGAAAGCCUGAUCCAGCAAUGCCGCGUGUGUGAAGAAGGCCUUCGGGUUGUAAAGCACUUUUGUCCGGAAAGAAAUCCUUGGUCCUAAUACGAUCGGGGGAUGACGGUACCGGAAGAAUAAGCACCGGCUAACUACGUGCCAGCAGCCGCGGUAAUACGUAGGGUGCAAGCGUUAAUCGGAAUUACUGGGCGUAAAGCGUGCGCAGGCGGUCUGUUAAGACAGAUGUGAAAUCCCCGGGCUCAACCUGGGAACUGCAUUUGUGACUGGCAGGCUAGAGUAUGGCAGAGGGGGGUAGAAUUCCACGUGUAGCAGUGAAAUGCGUAGAGAUGUGGAGGAAUACCGAUGGCGAA
rnacentral:rRNA from 1 species